GAAAUAUUCAGGAUGAAUAUUUACUAAUCAAUACAUAUCUAAUUAUUAAAUGCAUAUAAGAAAAGAAGAAAUGCAUAUGGAUGUUUAUCGAUAUCAAUAAUCUAAUAUUAUUGGUAAAGUCGAGUAAGGACACUUUUUAUGAUAGUUCAUUUUGUGAUCCUCACAUGGAUGGCCAAAAAGCAUGUAACCAUAUAUACGAGGACAGAAUAAUACCUAGAAACGGCCCUGAGAAACACUCGAGUAAGAAUACGUUUACGUUAAUUAGGUAUAUAUUUACUGCUGUAGAAUAGUAAUUGUAAACAUUUUUAUUGUAAAAUCCUUGCGAUAGUUGUUCUUUUUGCUAAGUGUAUAUCUAUUUUGUAAAGUUUAUAAAUAACAUGUUUGUAUAAAAGUAGACAUACAACAGAUUUAUGUCUAGAAUAAAAAG
rnacentral:lncRNA from 1 species